AUACUUACCUGGCAGGGAGAUACCAUGAUCAAGAAGGUUGGUUCACCAAGGGUGAGGCUCGUCCAUGCACUUCCGGAUGUGCUGACCCCUGCGAAUUCCCCAAAUGGGAAAAUCUCGACUGGAUAAUUUCUGGUAGGUGGGGGACUUGCGUUUCAGCGCUCUCCCCUG
ensembl:snRNA U1 U1 spliceosomal RNA